rnacentral:lncRNA from 1 species
AAGACCGAGGAUUAUAUUAUCUCCAAAGUAACCAUCGGCCUAUUUUUAUGCCUACUUUGGUUAUUGAAGGUGGGCUUUUGGAUGAUUUACUGUGUCCAUGAAAUUCUCAACUUGAGCGGGGCCUCCAUUGGGAAGACGUUUCUAAUCCUGGCUGAGUUUACGCCUGUCACUGAGUUAUUCAUGCACCCUGCCCUUUCAAUAGAUACUAUUCCUAUAAAAUGAAAUUUAGAAGUUUGUAUAUAUUUGUUUU